ACGGGGGUGUUUUUGUAUAAAAGAUGACAAUUAAAACAGUUCAACUAAAAGCAAAUAGCUAACUAAAAAUUAAAUAACAAUUUACUAAAAUCAGAUCAAUAAUAACUAAAGAUCUAGCCAAGAAAUAACUUUAAUAAUGGUUCAUGUGACGACCCCACCUCCCCCUAAGGCGUACCAAAAGGAUGUUACAGUUCACCUAAUUGAUCAUUGAUGCAAAGGCAAUUCCAAUUAUUUACAAAUAAAUAGAUUAUAACUGCCAAACAAGUGAUGACAGUCAACUCCUCCUUACUAUGUCGGUAACUAAGGUACGCCCGUUAGUCACUAUUCUAAUUGAGAAAUAAUUCUAGGUACGCCCGUAAGAUUUAAUUCUCCAAUUGUCUUACGAAUUAAAGGAACCCUAUUCUAACCAAAUAACGCACUAUCAGGAUUAUUUUAGAUUAGCAUGCGUAUUCCCCUAACACAAAUCCAAUCAUGCCAGUUGUCACUAUUUCAGGGCAAUUAAACAAUUACGAAUUUAAUGCUCCAAUUGACAAUAGGUUACCAAAUCAAUUCGACAUCCGGAUCCAAGAUAAUCAAUUAAUUAAAUAACUAUAAGCACUGCAAUCAGAGAAUAUGCAAAUAUCAAUAAAUAAGAUGAAUAGAUAAAAUUAAUCCAAUCUUACAAUUUUUAGAUGCACCAAAACCUCCGUCGUUCCUUGACUAGAAAAAGGGAUUUAGUUCAUCCCUGAUGAGAAAAACCCACACAAAGUUGUAGAACCAAUUGCCGCCAUUGUCUCCGAUUGAGAAAACUCAAUUUGCUUGAAUCAUGAAAAGAAAAGGCAAGACUACAAAGAAUGACCAAUUGUUUUUCUUGGUCUUGACAUCUGAAAGAAGAAAGCCACAAGAAGAUGAAAAAAGAGAAAAGUCAAAAGAAGAAAAACUAAAAGUAGUCCCAAUUGUUUGCUAUCUAUUUCCUCUCUAUUUUCUGCUACUUCUAUGAUACGGCUUUUUAGAGGAGAAAAAGAAGACUCCUAGUCUUGUUCCAUCUAUUUUCUCUUAGGCAAUUACCAAAAGGGGAAAAGUUUUCAUCUUCCAAAAGUACCCCUGGACGCCGUAUUUGCCCCCCGGAAUAAGGUAGCAGAGUUGAAUUAUUCUCCCCUUGUUGACUGCUGCUAAUAUUCUUCUCCUGAUAACCAUCAAAUUAGCACCUUUUAUGAUUUUGUGUUUC
rnacentral:lncRNA from 1 species